rnacentral:rRNA from 1 species
CCUACGGGAGGCAGCAGUGGGGAAUUUUGGACAAUGGGCGCAAGCCUGAUCCAGCAAUGCCGCGUGCAGGAUGAAGGCCUUCGGGUUGCAAACUGCUUUUGUACGGAACGAAACGGCUCUUUCUAAUAAAGAGAGCUAAUGACGGUACCGUAAGAAUAAGCACCGGCUAACUACGUGCCAGCAGCCGCGGUAAUACGUAGGGUGCGAGCGUUAAUCGGAAUUACUGGGCGUAAAGCGUGCGCAGGCGGUUAUAUAAGACAGAUGUGAAAUCCCCGGGCUCAACCUGGGACCUGCAUUUGUGACUGUAUAGCUAGAGUACGGUAGAGGGGGAUGGAAUUCCGCGUGUAGCAGUGAAAUGCGUAGAUAUGCGGAGGAACACCGAUGGCGAAGGCAAUCCCCUGGACCUGUACUGACGCUCAUGCACGAAAGCGUGGGGAGCAAACAGGAUUAGAUACCCUGGUAGUCCACGCCCUAAACGAUGUCAACUGGUUGUUGGGUCUUCACUGACUCAGUAACGAAGCUAACGCGUGAGUUGACCGCCUGGGGAGUCGGCCGCAAGGUUGAAACUCGAAAUGAAUUGAGGCUGGAGAGNGCGAGCGACGACGAGGGAGGAGG